rnacentral:tRNA from 1 species
GCGGGCGUAGCUCAAUGGAUAGAGCAACGGUCUUCUAAACCGUAGGUUGUGGGUUCGAGCCCCGCCGUCCGCGCCA